CUAAAUACUCUCUAGUGACCGAUAGUGAACCAGUACCGUGAGGGAAAGGUGAAAAGCACCCCGGAAGGGGAGUGAAAUAGAACCUGAAACCGUGUGCUUACAAGUAGUCAGAGCCCGUUAAUGGGUGAUGGCGUGCCUUUUGUAGAAUGAACCGGCGAGUUACGAUUUGAUGCAAGGUUAAGCAGUAAAUGUGGAGCCGUAGCGAAAGCGAGUCUGAAUAGGGCGUUUAGUAUUUGGUCGUAGACCCGAAACCAGGUGAUCUACCCUUGGUCAGGUUGAAGUUCAGGUAACACUGAAUGGAGGACCGAACCGACUUACGUUGAAAAGUGAGCGGAUGAACUGAGGGUAGCGGAGAAAUUCCAAUCGAACCUGGAGAUAGCUGGUUCUCUCCGAAAUAGCUUUAGGGCUAGCCUCAAGUGAUGAUUAUUGGAGGUAGAGCACUGUUUGGACGAGGGGCCCCUCUCGGGUUACCGAAUUCAGACAAACUCCGAAUGCCAAUUAAUUUAACUUGGGAGUC
rnacentral:rRNA from 1 species